rnacentral:rRNA from 1 species
ACUAACUGGAGGACCGAACCGACUAAUGUUGAAAAAUUAGCGGAUGACUUGUGGCUGGGGGUGAAAGGCCAAUCAAACCGGGAGAUAGCUGGUUCUCCCCGAAAGCUAUUUAGGUAGCGCCUCGUGAAUUCAUCUCCGGGGGUAGAGCACUGUUUCGGCAAGGGGGUCAUCCCGACUUACCAACCCGAUGCAAACUGCGAAUACCGGAGAAUGUUAUCACGGGAGACACACGGCGGGUGCUAACGUCCGUCGUGAAGAGGGAAACAACCCAGACCGCCAGCUAAGGUCCCAAAGUCAUGGUUAAGUGGGAAACGAUGUGGGAAGGCCCAGACAGCCAGGAUGUUGGCUUAGAAGCAGCCAUCAUUUAAAGAAAGCGUAAUAGCUCACUGGUCGAGUCGGCCUGCGCGGAAGAUGUAACGGGGCUAAACCAUGCACCGAAGCUGCGGCAGCGACGCUUAUGCGUUGUUGGGUAGGGGAGCGUUCUGUAAGCCUGUGAAGGUGUGCUGUGAGGCAUGCUGGAGGUAUCAGAAGUGCGAAUGCUGACAUAAGUAACGAUAAAGCGGGUGAAAAGCCCGCUCGCCGGAAGACCAAGGGUUCCUGUCCAACGUUAAUCGGGGCAGGGUGAGUCGACCCCUAAGGCGAGGCCGAAAGGCGUAGUCGAUGGGAAACAGGUUAAUAUUCCUGUACUUGGUGUUACUGCGAAGGGGGGACGGAGAAGGCUAUGUUGGCCGGGCGACGGUUGUCCCGGUUUAAGCGUGUAGGCUGGUUUUCCAGGCAAAUCCGGAAAAUCAAGGCUGAGGCGUGAUGACGAGGCACUACGGUGCUGAAGCAACAAAUGCCCUGCUUCCAGGAAAAGCCUCUAAGCAUCAGGUAACAUCAAAUCGUACCCCAAACCGACACAGGUGGUCAGGUAGAGAAUACCAAGGCGCUUGAGAGAACUCGGGUGAAGGAACUAGGCAAAAUGGUGCCGUAACUUCGGGAGAAGGCACGCUGAUAUGUAGGUGAAGUCCCUCGCGGAUGGAGCUGAAAUCAGUCGAAGAUACCAGCUGGCUGCAACUGUUUAUUAAAAACACAGCACUGUGCAAACACGAAAGUGGACGUAUACGGUGUGACGCCUGCCCGGUGCCGGAAGGUUAAUUGAUGGGGUCAGCGCAAGCGAAGCUCUUGAUCGAAGCCCCGGUAAACGGCGGCCGUAACUAUAACGGUCCUAAGGUAGCGAAAUUCCUUGUCGGGUAAGUUCCGACCUGCACGAAUGGCGUAAUGAUGGCCAGGCUGUCUCCACCCGAGACUCAGUGAAAUUGAACUCGCUGUGAAGAUGCAGUGUACCCGCGGCAAGACGGAAAGACCCCGUGAACCUUUACUAUAGCUUGACACUGAACAUUGAGCCUUGAUGUGUAGGAUAGGUGGGAGGCUUAGAAGUGUGGACGCCAGUCUGCAUGGAGCCGACCUUGAAAUACCACCCUUUAAUGUUUGAUGUUCUAACGUUGACCCGUAAUCCGGGUUGCGGACAGUGUCUGGUGGGUAGUUUGACUGGGGCGGUCUCCUCCUAAAGAGUAACGGAGGAGCACGAAGGUUGGCUAAUCCUGGUCGGACAUCAGGAGGUUAGUGCAAUGGCAUAAGCCAGCUUGACUGCGAGCGUGACGGCGCGAGCAGGUGCGAAAGCAGGUCAUAGUGAUCCGGUGGUUCUGAAUGGAAGGGCCAUCGCUCAACGGAUAAAAGGUACUCCGGGGAUAACAGGCUGAUACCGCCCAAGAGUUCAUAUCGACGGCGGUGUUUGGCACCUCGAUGUCGGCUCAUCACAUCCUGGGGCUGAAGUAGGUCCCAAGGGUAUGGCUGUUCGCCAUUUAAAGUGGUACGCGAGCUGGGUUUAGAACGUCGUGAGACAGUUCGGUCCCUAUCUGCCGUGGGCGCUGGAGAACUGAGGGGGGCUGCUCCUAGUACGAGAGGACCGGAGUGGACGCAUCACUGGUGUUCGGGUUGUCAUGCCAAUGGCACUGCCCGGUAGCUAAAUGCGGAAGAGAUAAGUGCUGAAAGCAUCUAAGCACGAAACUUGCC